UAGACAGGAAGCAAGUGGGAGAGAGAAAGGGGGGGACGGGAUCGGGAAAAGGUCCAUGAGCCGGCACUCAAACUCGGGUCACCCGAGCUGCCCACAAGGCUAUCAGCGCAGACGAUGGGACAUUAUUUUCAACUUGAUUGCAAUGUUGUAUUCUCCAUCAUUCAAUACAUUUUGCCUGUACGUAAAGGUACGUUGCAGAUUAAAAUCUAUAAAUCAAAAUAUUUAUUGCAUUUAUGAAGAAAAGUCUCGGCACCCAAGGCUCUAUCGCCUAUUGCCUCAAUGGUGUAUACUAGUGUCUUUGGGCGGAUUGCCAGCAACAGCCAUUUUAGGAUUGUUUGUGAUUUGGUCUUAGUGACAGGUGUCCUCUAUUCACAUAUUUAGGAGCUGGUUUUAGCACUAAAAUGCUUUGAGAAAUACUCUUAGAGCAAAAAUGUUUUCUAAGAGUUCUAAAAUUAGGAAUGACAUGUCCAAUAUUUUUAAGUUUGAAUGAGUGCUGCGAGUGAGGUGUCAGGGGCAAGUAAGCGCUCUCCCCCAAAAUGGUGCAGUUAUUCGUGCCAGAGCUGCCUGCAUUUCUUAACUUUCUUAUGAAAUAUUUUGACAUCUGAAGUGGAUUCAGCAUCUUUAUGCCAUUACAAGCAGCUUUUGUUGAUACAGUAAAUAAUAAAAUUCAUAGCCGUCAAUGCACACAUAUAUUUGUAAAUAAUACACUUCUUGAAGAGCCGUUUCAGCCAACAGCUAUAGGCUGAAACACAAGCCUGCACAGUUCUGAGAAGAAUCCACUUCAACAUGAUGUACAAACCAGAGUUUUCUACACCUUAAACUGGGUCAACUUAUCUUCUGAGAUUAUAAAAAAAAGGCCAAGCUGAAACAGUCAAAAAAGGCAAAAGAGAGACAACAGUAAGUUUAGAAAUUGAUAAAACAAUGUAAUUGUUUAAAAUAAGUACGCUGUUAUUAAUUUGUUGCGAGUGUUUUCAGUGGUUACGUUACUGUUUUUUCGCAGUUGCAGGAGAAGAGGUCAACAGAGACAAACAGAAAGAGCAUUUCAAAGGACAGAAAUGGUGGAGCUCAAUGUAAGAUGAGGAAGAUUGUUGUUGUUGAUGUGGAUGCAUGCAGGAGCUACAGUGAGGAAUGGAAUCUACUGGGACAUGUGUCAUUUACUGCUUUUGUUUGAAAUCUUUAACUGAAAAUAGAUGUUGUAUUUUUGUAUUGGGUUGGAGUCUAACUGCACAUCUGGCCUGCAACCAAUCAAAUUACUCACCUGCAAGGGUGGGAAGGGUUUUGGGUGGGAUAAAUUUAAAGUUUACCAAUGAAAUGACUUUUGAGGAAAGUCUGUGUGCUCAAUGGCCCAAUAGCUGUGUCUUGUGGGGGUGGGUUUAACACGAAUGACCAAAAGGGGAGGGCAGAAUGGCACAAAGGUGGGAAUGUCCCCUGAAAAAAAAUGUCACGUCAUGGCAACAAAUGGCCGUUGCAUGGAAGAAUACCUCAAUAACAUAUAUCCGAAUUGGUAUCAUUUCAGCACGGACCCAUGUUAUUUCCCAUAUCUGGUCAGUAAUACUCCCGGACUCGUCUGAAAUUCUGCGAUGGUAAUACUGGUCCAUAUACACCUCUUUUCAUGUUUUUGGAUCAACAGUCUGACAAGUGGAAAAAAAAAUUACCCACAGACAGAGUUUUCCAAAUUUUUGUGUUUUUUAUUGAUGAUGACCAGGAUGGUUCCCUUUACAGUAAAUCAGCAGAAAUCUACUUUUGCAUUGAGCUUUUAAAGACAGAAUGUUGAAUAUUGCACUAAAGAAGAAAAGAACUAAGAUUCAUACAGCGCCAAAGAACGAGGAAAUAUCACAGCAUCUUCUCGACAACAUCUUAGGGUAAACAGAAGCCAAGCCCAAUAAUAUAUGCAUAUUUCAGUACCAUAAAGACAAUUAGCUUCAAAUAUAUCUUCUUAAAAUAGUUUUGUU